rnacentral:rRNA from 1 species
AGAGUUUGAUCAUGGCUCAGGAUGAAUGCUGGCGACGUGUCUAAGGCAUGCAAGUCGUGCGCUCUUACGGCGAUUACAUCAAUGGAAAGAGAGCGGCAAACGGGUGCGUAACACAUUGGUAACCUACCUCGAGGUCGUGAAUAAUUCCGCGAAAGUGGAACUAAUACACGAUGGACAAGGGGGGUCGCAAGACAUUCCUUGUAAAGAUUUAUCGCCACGAGAGGGGCCUAUGUCCUAUCAGCUAGUUGGAGAGGUAAUGGCUCACCAAGGCUAUGACGGGUAGCGGGCGCGAGAGCGUGACCCGUCUCACUGGGACUGAGACACUGCCCAGACUCCUACGGGAGGCUGCAGUCGAGAAUAUUCCUCAAUGCACGAAAGUGUGAAGGAGCGACGUCGCGUGCCAGAAGAAGCCCCUCGGGGUGUAAAUGGCUUUUUUCAGGGAAGAAUUCUGACGGUACCUGAAGAAUAAGUGGUUGCUAACUCUGUGCCAGCAGCAGCGGUAAUACAGAGACCACGAGCAUUAUCCGGAUUUAUUGGGCGUAAAGCGUCCGCAGGUGGUCGUGUGCGUCAUACGUUAAAUCUUUGGGCUCAACCCAAAGUCUGCGCGUGAUACGGCACGACUCGAGGCCGGGAGAGGUACAUGGAAUUGCUGGUGUAGCGGUAAAAAUGCGUUCAUAUCAGCAAGAACACCAAAAGCGAAAGCAGUGUACUGGAACGGUCCUGACACUCAGGGACGAAAGCGUGGGUAGCGAAUGAGAUUAGAUACCCUAGUAGUCC